rnacentral:lncRNA from 1 species
AACUGAGAAUCUCAUCCUGUUGUCUUUCUUUAGCUUGCCCAUGGUGAUGUGAAGAUGAGAAGAAAUAGCAAGGCCCAACCAGUUCUUCAUCUGGAGACAGUUCAACGUUCUGCAAACCAGAUCUUCAGGAAUUUUACUGGGAUAAUUAUCCAAAUAAAUUGCAAGCAUUCUAUCCAAAUGGAGCUCUUUCUGAGAUGAAGAGAAUUCUCAAUGUCAAGAUUUGAACAAGAAGAGAAUGGAAUACACAAUAUGGACAUCCAUAAAAAUUCAUCAGAGAGCAUUUUACUACUGAGCUGCAAAGGUAGGAAAAAUAAAUUUUUUUUGGUUAGAAAAUAUACUUCUUUCAUCUGCGUUUCAAUAAUUUAUUCCCCUUGUUAGAUAUACAUGGAAUUGAUAUUGCUUAUUCUGACUAAGUGAAAAGUGUUAUUUCUACUUACUGCUCAAUUAGAAACAUGUAGUGUUUAAUUGUCAGUUUGAAUUUUUCUUUCAUACUAUUACAGUUUAUAUUUUACUAUAGGCAGAAUUUCCUCUUUAUCCUAAAUUUUGAUAUUCUCCAUAAUUUCAUCGUGCCUUGACAUUGCUGUAUAUAAUUUCUAUACAUCAGGAAGGCAAUUCUGUGUGCAUGUGUGUGUGUAUAUAUAUAGUUAGAAGUUAGAAACUGAAACUCUUUUUUGUCUACCAUCAUUUCAUAUUUUUCUUGCUAUUUCAAACCUAUAAUUUUUAAAGAAACGACUAACGUAAUCAUUCAUAGAAUAUGCUGUCAGUAACUUAACAAUAUAAAUGUUAACAUGGAGGCAUUUAGUUCAGCAUUUGCUUUACUUAAUAGAGUGCAGAAAAUGUGGCCCUUUUCUCAGUUAGGGUGUAUGUGAAGAUAAAUUUAGAAUUUCUAGACUAGUAAAUACUUCUCUGAUAAUAACUUAAUUAUAGCUAUUUCAAACCAAAUUGUUUAAUUGUGGUGAAUCAUAUGUAAAUUGUUCAGAUGUAGGUCAACACCCACGCCCACAUUCUAGCACCUCUUUCCUAAUUCAAGACAACUUUGCAGUGCCUAAAAGAGCUGAACAGUGCAGAUUAGAGACAUAAGACAAAAAAAAAAAAAAAA